UACGUAGGUGGCAAGCGUUGUUCGGAAUUAUUGGGCGUAAAGGGCGCGUAGGCGGUUUGUUAAGUCAGUUGUGAAAGCCCGGGGCUCAACCCCGGAGGGUCGACUGAUACUGGCAGACUAGAGUACGGAAGAGGUAGCUGGAAUUCCCGGUGUAGCGGUGAAAUGCGUAGAUAUCGGGGAGGAACACCUGAGGCGAAGGCGGGCUACUGGGCCGAUACUGACGCUGAUGCGCGAAAGCCAGGGGAGCAAACGGG
rnacentral:rRNA from 1 species